AUGGUGGGAGGCCAUUGUUGUCUCCUCUUCUACUGCCCCCACGGUGAAAACCACACUUGUGCCGACGUCGUCUCUGUCCGUCUUUCCUGUAUCCAAGACGAUUCUGAGAAGCAGCCUGUGGAAGCCAAGGUCGUUUUUAGCCUCAUUGGUCAGGUUGAGCUGCAGAAUCCAGUCUACAUUGCUCAAAGUGAAGCAUGCAGCUUCGAUCCUUGUUCUCAGAGCAUCGAGCAGGAUUUUAGAAGAGAUGCCCUUGAGCGAUCAUCAGUGAAGCUAAAGGAUGAUUAUUUGACCGUCCGGUGCGACGUCAUGGUCUGCAACACCAACCCCAGGGAUGAUGAUGAUGAUGCCGCUGCCACCAUUACCAAGGCGCGCUUGCCUAACAUUUGCCGUGAUUUUAACAUCCUCUUCAAAACCGAGGCGGGUGCUGAUGUGACAUUCGAGGUCGGCGGCAACAAGUUGGCUACACACCGAUGCGUGCUUGCAGCCCGGUCUAAAGUCUUCAUGGCACAGCUCUUUGGCCCCAUGAAGGAGGCAACUGCUCAAACCGGUGUCAUACACAUCAAAGACAUGGAAGCAAGCGUGUUCAGGGCUUUGCUUAGCUUUAUCUACACAGACUCGCUUCCUUCUAUGGAGGAGGACAACAGACAAGAGGUGGAAGCAUCAGAGGAUGAAAUGUCACGUGUUGUGGAACAGGGACAAGAAGACGAAGAAGUAAUAGAGAAUGAAAUAUGGCUGCAGUGGCUUCAAAACUUGCUGGUAGCAGCUGACAGAUAUGAUGUCCAACGUCUCAAAUGCACCUGCGAGGAGCAGUUAUCUGAGCACAUAUCUGUCAGGAUGGUGAUGUCCACUCUUGGUCUAGCCGAGCAGCACCACUGCCAAGGAUUGAAGGAGGCGUGCUUCAAGUUUAUCCAAGUCCAGCCCCCCUCGUGUUUGCAAGCAGUAAUGGCAACUGAUGGCUAG
rnacentral:rRNA from 1 species